GAGCCCGGCCUACUUCCUCGCCAGAGAAACUGCUGUCUUCCCCGGCGGUAGGGAAGGGUUAAUGCCACCGAGUAUCCAGACCCGCUGAAGCCUAGAGGGCCUUGUACCGGCUCACCGCGUGGCUGUCGCUGUCUCGUGUCCCCAGUGGGGGAGGCGUCGCACUGCCGCGUCUGUUCUGCGUGGCUGUCGGGCGGCGUUUGGUCCCGGGAGCCUCGCCGGAGAAACGGAGACCUAAGAAGUGACUUGCUCAGGGUCACAUAGCUCAGCAGUGGCGGCCGCUAAUCGGAAAUAGCUCUCCUGUUGUGGUAUCCUCUGCGUUUUCCACUCCAGUAUUCUUCCCUGGAAAAUGGGAACCUUGUUUUCAUCUUAUAUCUCAUGCAGCGCCUAACAUAGUCACCUGCACCUGGAAUGGAUAAAAGUGGCAGUUUUUGUUUCUUCCCAUGAGGUUGUGUAUCUGGACUGAGAACCAGGAAAUUAAUCUAGACUAAGACAUUUCUAAGGACCUGGAAUGGCUUUGGGGAGCACCAGGAGGACCCGAAAAGAGUAUUUGAGGGCCUAGAGGGACAGAAGAGUUUGCCAGUAGGAUUUAUGAGAAACAAUUGAUCAGAAACAGCAGCAGAGAAACCUUUUAGAUUUCUUCUGUGGAAAAGUUGAGUCUUGGUUCAAAUUAAGUAAAAUAAACACUGAAGAGAAAUCAAAAUCUCAAAUAUAAAAAGUAUGUUACUUAUAGU
rnacentral:lncRNA from 10 species